AUUGAACGCUGGCGGCAUGCCUUACACAUGCAAGUCGAACGGUAACAGGUUAAGCUGACGAGUGGCGAACGGGUGAGUAAUGUAUCGGAACGUGCCCAGUCGUGGGGGAUAACUGCUCGAAAGAGCAGCUAAUACCGCAUACGACCUGAGGGUGAAAGCGGGGGAUCGCAAGACCUCGCGCGAUUGGAGCGGCCGAUAUCAGAUUAGGUAGUUGGUGAGGUAAAGGCUCACCAAGCCGACGAUCUGUAGCUGGUCUGAGAGGACGACAAGCCAAACUGGGAAUGAGACACGGCCCAGACUCCUACGGGAGGCAGCAGUGGGGAAUUUUGGACAAUGGGCGCAAGCCUGAUCCAGCCAUGCCGCGUGCGGGAAGAAGGCCUUCGGGUUGUAAACCGCUUUUGUCAGGGAAGAAAAGGUUCUGGCUAAUACCUGGGACUCAUGACGGUACCUGAAGAAUAAGCACCGGCUAACUACGUGCCAGCAGCCGCAGUAAAAC
rnacentral:rRNA from 1 species